GAGGGAUGCGAUACAGAAGAAAACAUUUACAAAAUGGAUGAACAAACAUCUAAAAAAGGUGAGUGUACCUUUACUUUUUUUACUUUUAUUUGCAUUAUUUUCAAUUAUGCCUAUUUACUUUCGUUUUCCUUCCUUUCCUUUCGUUAUGUGUAUAUAGUGAUAUGUAAUUCAUAUAUCACUAUAUACACAUACAAACUAUAAGUUUAAUAUUUUUUAUUUUAAUAUUAAGUAUAAUAUCGAAUGUCAUUACUAAUCUGUUCGUUUUAUAUUUUCGAUAAAAUUUUAAUUUGAAAGCGCAAUAUGUAGAUAUAUACUGUUUCAAUUUAAAACACUUGUUUAGAUAAUGAAUUAUUAUAUAAAUAAGUAGCAUUUGCAUUUUAAGUCGAGUGCAUAAAACAAAAAUCCAUAUAUAAAUUACGUAAUCUUGCAUGCUACAUACAAUUGUGACAUUUUUUUAGCCCCUAAAAUGUCAUUCAGAAAAGAAAACGCCUACACUUUUCUAACUCAACAAUACUCGAACCUACCACCUGUUGCGACAUUUGACGUAUUAUCCCAAUUAACUAUGAAAAACUGAUAUUUUUCUGGGUUAACUCUUUAUUAUAUAGUGUACAACUAUGCCAUUUUAAACACACAAAUUAGGGAAUUAAGAAUUUUAAAAUAUCGAAUUAUUAAAAAUCGAGAAUAUUAAAGUAGGAAGUACUAAAACGUAGCGACAUUUGCGAUCUAAUUCUAUCCAUUCGGGAAGGAUAAAAACAGAAAAACUAACCCCCUUUUCAACUUGGAAAAUACAUAAUGAAUAGGAAAUGAUCUGUUUAUCUUUAUUUAUAUUCUUAAGUUGUCUUUGUUACCGAUUUCGUUUUUUUUUUAGCGUGAUUUGAUAAGAUAACGAAUAUUAAGCCGUAGGACGUCUCGUCUGGUUAUGAUUACGACGUCUUUGAAUUAAAAAUAAUAAUAUUCUUUUAAUUAUAUCGUAUCAAAGUAUCAUUCACAUUUAAAAUGUAAUUAUGAAACAGAAGAUUCGGCAACUGCUUAAAAAAUAAACUUCAGGAACCAGUUAUCUAUAGCAGAACGUCAUUAAAAAUAAACAAACCAAAAUCGCCUGACGUCACUACCGCUUUCAGUCCCGGUCUAACCAGUUGCGUUGUUUAUGUUUAAUAAAUGUACUACCGUGCUGACAUUUUUUUUUUUUUUAUUCCAAGAAUGGUUAACUCGUAGCGAGUAUUUAAAUGUAUGGAUUUCCUCCGUUAGAUAACUACUGUCUUGCUUAAAAUAUAUUACGUCACAGAUCGUCGCAAUCGAUAGGACACGAGUAUAACCAUGGCAACCGACCGCACCCAAUCUUCUAUAGUUUUGCCUACUUAUCCACGUGAUUUUAUUCCUCUCUAAUUUUGCUUAGUCACUUUAUUAAAUGCAGUUUGAAACAAAAUCGAAUUUUUUUUUUUUACUUUUUUAGUUUAAUAUUUCACUAUUUCGCAUUAAAUAUUACACGAAUAUUUUGGUGUUAGAUUUUUUUUUUUUUAUAACUCCGGUUUCUGUUCUGGGAAUGAUGUGGAACGAUUUGAAAAUAGAUCGCGGAGGUUGGGUUGCCUGUUGGCUGUUGAAAGGAUUGAAAAAUAUUACCUCCUUUAAAAUAGGCGAGACAUUUCGACUAUUUCUGGUUUAGUUGCUGUGACGAUUAAUAUGAUUGGCAGGGAAGACAUUAAAAAGGAUCGGUUAGUUAAUCCUUUAGAAGAUUUAAAGUUAUAUCGUAUGUUAUUUCCUUACUUUCAAGUGUCAAAGUACCCUAGAUGAAGAAAAAUAAAAAGUGUCAUACGGAGUCUGUGGUUGAUAUUUCCAAUCCUUUAACAAUCCCGCUAGUCAGCUAUAAAUUGAAAGGCUUGGCUUAGGUUCAGAGAUAAAACGAUACGACAGGCAAAAAGCCAAACCAUUAUCAUGGCGCUAAAAUCCUCCCUCCCAAUUCGAUUUCGUUUUACCAGAAAGAGGACAGUCAGGUGAAAAGGGUAACUUGGGUGUGCCCCAUUAUUGGAACAUGUUGUAACUCCCACGUUUGGUAGAACCGUACUGUAUUUAGCUCUGACUGAUACUCAAAUGUACAUUCUUUUUCCAGAUAUUAAUUAACAAAGUUGAUAAUUUACUAUAAAUAUCACUUUAAAAUAGUUAAUUUUUGUUUUUGUAUGCCCUUUUAAAAGUUUUAAACGAGACACGUUUCUAAAUUUUAUAAAUUCUGUUGAAAGAUCGGGACAUCAAAACAUUGAGCUGGCAUCUUUAAAUGGCUCGAAAUAGAUGUAGCUCGUAUUUGUGUCGCAGCUCUGUCACUAAAGUUCCGAUCGAUGAAUUUUGGUAGUGUCCUGUGAAGAUAAUAGAUGGCGCCAAUUGCAAUUGGAUAAAAAUUAAUUGAGCUGUGAAAAAAUUCUAACAUCUCCUUUACUUCAUAUCCGCGACGGACAUCUCAAAUUGUAUCAUAAAUUGCGCAAGUUGCUUGGAAUCUUCUAAUGAAUUUUUCAUUAGAAAAGCAUAUUAUUUGAAGGUUAUUUUUAAAAGAUAUUUUCUGUAACUAACUCUUUAUAAACAGGAAGUCUUUAUUACUUGGAAUUUAUCGUCUUCCUUUUUAAUCACCGAGUGCAACUCUCGAAGCUAGUUGGUCCAAGAGUGCUUUCGUGUCAUCACGUUUAAUUUUCUUUAGUUUAAGAUGCUAUUUCGUGCACUUCAAUUACACGAUGCUAAGGCUCUUCAUUGUUUUUAAUGUAGUCAAUGCGAUUAUAAAAUUGAAUGCCGCUUGUAUUGCUGUUACAGUAAGCUACUAUAGACGAAUGUCGAUACGGAAUAACUCUCGAAAAACGAAAAAAAAGACAGAUAAUGCAAAAAAAUCGUUAAUUAUUUACAAUAUUUUCCAUUUAAAUUCGGACAAAAAGAUCGAGACCUAGUUACACUGUAAAAUGCUAUCACGAAACUGAGCGUGAAAUCUAAAUAAUGUAUUCACAAGUUAAAGAAAUUAUAUGCAUUUAGUCUAAACAGGUUGAGAUUUUUCUUAUAAGCGUGUUCCAAAAAUUAGAUUGAAAUAUAACGAUUGUAUUUUAUUUUUGAUUGUAAUACAUUUUACAAAUGUAAUAAUUUUUAAAAUAUAACUUCCAGUUUGAAAAUUGAUAUACGGUAUUUUACUAAACAUUAGAAUCUACUUAAAACAGCAUCCAUAACAAAAAUAACGCAUAAUACAUUAGCGGUAUUCCUGGUUACGACCUUGCUAUGUUACAGAAAAUGAUUACCCCAUACCAAAAGCCGGUUUCAUUCCGCCCCAACUACAUUUCAGUGCAUUGCCAUAUAUGGCCGCAACACACUCGGAUGUACUGGUCUGACCCCAUGCUAAACAGGUCGCUGACAUUGUUUAUCCAUCUUGUACUGCCAAUCUUUAUCGAUGAUCAAUUGUGGCAAUUACUAGAUUUUCUUACGUCACAAAAGAAGCUGUGUCAUAGUUCAAGAUAUAACGAAAUAGGAAUUUUACUACUUAAUCGAGUUCAGUUACGGCAUUGCAUUUUUUUUCAAGUUUGAAUCGAUUGGGGAAUUGUAAAGCACAAACAAUAACGUUUAUCCAGGGUCAUCUUAAGAUCUAUUAGACCAGUUUUAUUUUUUACAAUUUACUUUUUCUGUUUUCGAGUCAUUAAAUUUUCAUAAAUCCCAGAAAACUCUUACCUAGUGGAUAAGAUCAGGGACUCUUUAGGAUCCAUGGGCACAAACAAUUUUUAAAUAAAUUAUAAAAUAGUUUAAUAAUUUUGAGCUGCUUCUGAGGUCCUCUAUUGUGGGGGCCCUUAGACACGUGCCUAUUACACCUUGUGAUUAUUCCGAUCCUAGAUGAAACCCAUAACGCCAAUGUUCAAAGUGUAAAUACUUUAGUUAUUUCAAAAUACAUUAAAUAUGUAAUAAACUGCACAUGAACGUAUAAACAUAUAUAUUAAUCUCACUACUUUCAGUAAUAUUAUUAUUGACUAAAUAUUUGUUGAUGUUAAAACUCUGAAACAAAAUUCGAGAUUCUGUUUUACCCUUUUUGUUUUCAUUACUAACAAGUAAGUAAAUAUUACAAUAAUUUUAUUCAUACAAUCCGAUAAAUUAAAUUUAUUAAAUAUUUAUAGCUCUAAAAUCGGUAAAUUAAUAUUCUAUGAUUUUAAAUCAAGAAUUAUUAAUGAAAUUUCUCACGAAAUAUAGAUUUAUUAAAAC
rnacentral:lncRNA from 1 species